AGUGAACGCUGGCGGUAGGCCUAACACAUGCAAGUCGAACGGCAGCACAGUAAGAGCUUGCUCUUACGGGUGGCGAGUGGCGGACGGGUGAGGAAUACAUCGGAAUCUACUUUUUCGUGGGGGAUAACGUAGGGAAACUUACGCUAAUACCGCAUACGACCUACGGGUGAAAGCAGGGGAUCUUCGGACCUUUCGCGAUUGAAUGAGCCGAUGUCGGAUUAGCUAGUUGGCGGGGUAAAGGCCCACCAAGGCGACGAUCCGUAGCUGGUCUGAGAGGAUGAUCAGCCACACUGGAACUGAGACACGGUCCAGACUCCUACGGGAGGCAGCAGUGGGGAAUCUUGGGCAAUGGGCGCAAGCCUGAUCCAGCCAUACCGCGUGGGUGAAGAAGGCCUUCGGGUUGUAAAGCCCUUUUGUUGGGAAAGAAAAGCAGCAGGUGAAUACCCCGCUGUUCUGACGGUACCCAAAGAAUAAGCACCGGCUAACUUCGUG
rnacentral:rRNA from 1 species